CUAUGACAUGGCAGCUGUCUAGGUAGCGUUGCCAGCAGCUGAGGGUAAUUACGUAGCGUGGCUAUGGGUUUAUACAGCACUUGUUGCGCCGUGAAAGCGCGGGGCAGGUGGUCUAUCAAGUCUGAUGACGAAAGUCGCGCGGCUCAAUCCGCGGAGGGGUCAUUGGAAUCUGGGAGACUUCGAGUGCAGAAGAGGGGAAGUGGAAUUACCAUGUGUAGCGGUGAAAUGCGUAGAGAUAUGGAGGAACACCAGUAGUCGAAGGCGACUUUUCUGGUCUGUAACUGACAAUGAGGCGUGAAAGCGUGGGGAGCAAACAGGAUUAGAUACCUUGGUAGUAACUCUGUAAACGAUGAGUGCUAAGUGUGAGAGGGUCUCCGCCCUUUUAGUGCUGAAGUUAACCCAUUAAGCACUCCGCCUGGCGAGUACGGCCGCAAGGCUGAAACUCAAAGGAAUUGACGGGGGCCCGCACAAGCGGUGGAGCAUGUGGUUUAAUUCGAAGCAACGCGAAGAACCUUACCAGGUCUUGACAUCCUCUGAAAACCCUAGAGAUAGGGCUUCUCCUUCGGGAGCAGAGUGACAGGUGGUGCAUGGUUGUCGUCAGCUCGUGUCGUGAGAUGUUGGGUUAAGUCCCGCAACGAGCGCAACCCUUGAUCUUAGUUGCCAUCAUUAAGUUGGGCACUCUAAGGUGACUGCCGGUGACAAACCGGAGGAAGGUGGGGAUGACGUCAAAUCAUCAUGCCCCUUAUGACCUGGGCUACACACGUGCUACAAUGGACGGUACAAAGAGCUGCAAGACCGCGAGGUGGAGCUAAUCUCAUAAAACCGUUCU
rnacentral:rRNA from 1 species